rnacentral:rRNA from 1 species
UACGGAGGGGGCUAGCGUUGUUCGGAAUUACUGGGCGUAAAGCGCACGUAGGCGGCUUUGUAAGUUAGAGGUGAAAGCCCAGGGCUUAACUCUGGAAUUGCCUUUAAGACUGCAUCGCUAGAAUCGUGGAGAGGUGAGUGGAAUUCCGAGUGUAGAGGUGAAAUUCGUAGAUAUUCGGAAGAACACCAGUGGCGAAGGCGACUGACUGGACAUGUAUUGACACUGAGGUGCGAAAGCGUGGGGAGCAAACAGG